GUGUCAGCAGCCGCGGUAAUACGGGGGGUGCAAGCGUUGUUCGGAAUCAUUGGGCGUAAAGGGCGUGUAGGCGGCUAGAUAAGUCAGAUGUGAAAUCCCUGGGCUUAACCCAGGAAGUGCAUUUGAAACUGUUUGGCUUGAGUAGGGGAGAGGAAAGUGGAAUUCCUGGUGUAGAGGUGAAAUUCGUAGAUAUCAGGAGGAACACCGGUGGCGAAGGCGACUUUCUGGCCCUAUACUGACGCUGAGACGCGAAAGCGUGGGUAGCAAACAGGAUUAGAUACCCUGGUAGUCCACGCUGUAAACGAUGUUCACUAGGUGUUGGGGGUAUUGACCCCCUCAGUGCCGCAGCUAACGCAUUAAGUGAACCGCCUGGGGAGUACGGUCGCAAGACUAAA
rnacentral:rRNA from 1 species